AUUGAACGCUGGCGGCAUGCUUUACACAUGCAAGUCGAACGGUAACAGGCCGCAAGGUGCUGACGAGUGGCGAACGGGUGAGUAAUGCAUCGGAACGUGCCCAGUCGUGGGGGAUAACGCAGCGAAAGCUGCGCUAAUACCGCAUACGAUCUAUGGAUGAAAGCGGGGGACCGUAAGGCCUCGCGCGAUUGGAGCGGCCGAUGUCAGAUUAGGUAGUUGGUGGGGUAAAGGCUCACCAAGCCGACGAUCUGUAGCUGGUCUGAGAGGACGACCAGCCACACUGGGACUGAGACACGGCCCAGACUCCUACGGGAGGCAGCAGUGGGGAAUUUUGGACAAUGGGGGCAACCCUGAUCCAGCAAUGCCGCGUGCAGGAAGAAGGCCUUCGGGUUGUAAACUGCUUUUGUACGGAACGAAAAGGCUCUGGUUAAUACCCGGAGCUAAUGACGGUACCGUAAGAAUAAGCACCGGCUAACUACGUGCCAGCCGCCGCCGUAAAAC
rnacentral:rRNA from 1 species